rnacentral:rRNA from 1 species
CGUAGGUGGCGAGCGUUAUCCGGAAUGAUUGGGCGUAAAGGGUGCGCAGGCGGCAUAUCAAGUCUGAAGUGAAAGGUACGGGCUCAACCUGUACAGGCUUUGGAAACUGGUAUGCUCGAGGACAGGAGAGGGCGGUGGAACGUCCACCGUGUAGCGGUAAAUAGCGUAGAGAUGUGGAGAACACCAGUGGCGAAGGCGGCGCCUGGCCUGUAACUGACGCUCAGGCACGAAAGACGUGGGGGAGCAAUAGGAUU